GAUGAACGCUGGCGGCGUGCCUAAUACAUGCCAGUCGAGCGAACAGACGAGGAGCUUGCUCCUCUGACGUUAGCGGCGGACGGGUGAGUAACACGUGGAUAACCUACCUAUAAGACUGGGAUAACUUCGGGAAACCGGAGCUAAUACCGGAUAAUAUAUUGAACCGCAUGGUUCAAUAGUGAAAGACGGUUUUGCUGUCACUUAUAGAUGGAUCCGCGCCGCAUUAGCUAGUUGGUAAGGUAACGGCUUACCAAGGCAACGAUGCGUAGCCGACCCGAGAGGGUGAUCGGCCACACUGGAACUGAGACACGGUCCAGACUCCUACGGGAGGCAGCAGUAGGGAAUCUUCCGCAAUGGGCGAAAGCCUGACGGAGCAACGCCGCGUGAGUGAUGAAGGUCUUCGGAUCGUAAAACUCUGUUAUUAGGGAAGAACAAAUGUGUAAGUAACUAUGCACGUCUUGACGGUACCUAAUCAGAAAGCCACGGCUAACUACGUG
rnacentral:rRNA from 1 species